rnacentral:ribozyme from 1 species
ACUACAAAAUGGAAAGUUUAGAAAGGUGAAAAUGAAAGAUUAACACUCCCAUUUGUCAUUUAAAUACUUUGCAUUUUCUUUUCAUCUUCCAUUUUUUUUUUUUGUGUUGGUCUCAAUUUGUUCCUUCUCAUUUAAAAA